ensembl:snoRNA LOC120095766 small nucleolar RNA SNORA17
AUUCUAAUUCAACCCAGGGUAGGAGCGGAACCAUUGAGAAACCAAAGAAAGAGGAGAGAGGCUGUGUCUACACUGUGUUCUCACCUAUGAACAUCUGAAGGAUUAGUAGCCUAACAUU